CAAGAGUGAAUGUUUUUCGUCUGAGCUAUAAACUCAUUGCAUGACACUUUUUGUUCAAUUUAAUUACAAUGAUAUUGUUAUGAACUUACGAGAUACCUCUUGGUUCUUCAUGUCCCACGUAAUCUAAAGCAUUAUGAUUAUGCAAGAUAUCUAAAGUGAAGCCUAAAAUAGUCAAGGUGCGGGAAAAUUUGUCAAAAUGCAUCAAGCAGCUUAUUGGUGGCCAAUGUAGCCUUUUUUCUUUUACAAAAAUAUUGGGAGCUUCUUACCUCUGUGAAUAAAUUUUUUUGGAUCCACCGCUGCAAGUUCUUAUAACCUAUUAUGGAAUCAAACGAGAAAAGAUAGAAGAAGGUAUAAAUGGAAACGUCGCUAACAUUCUCCGUAUAUCUUUCAUUUCGUUGUGUUGAAACUUGCAAGUAGAUUAUGUCUAGGCAACUUUUGCCAAUACAAACUAGAGAAACUUGCUAUGCUUUUAGUCUCAACCCAAAACCUUCUCAAUAGCCAUGCUAUGCUUUUAGCAUUUUACAAAUUAAUUGCUUUAGGCUAUAAGUAUUAGUAUAGACCAUCACAAUGUCAAUUGUUAAAGUUAGAAAAUAUGAAAAUAUAUACAAUGUUCAAGUGCAUGCAGAAGCUUCAGUUGCCAUUAAUCAUAUCAAAAGGAACAUAGUGGGACCCUUUAUGUAAUUUUAGGCCUCAUUCAUUCCUCUCCUCCUUUUCUGAUCUGAAUAGGGAAAUUUGAAAAAAAAAAAAAACCAAAAUUAUAAUCCAUGUAAAAUUAUAGUUGUUGCAGUCAUAUUUAGAAUAGAAAUGUGAUUGUGUAAAUUCUAGAGAAUCUGGGAAUGUAUCUUAUAUUCCUAUUAAGAGUAGAUUACCUAUUCAAUGUUGUAAUCUUAAAGAGAAAGGUUUUUACAUAUUCUACUACUAUAA
rnacentral:lncRNA from 1 species